rnacentral:rRNA from 2 species
UGGGAGAUGAUUGAAAGAUGGUUUCGGCUAUCACUUACAGAUGGGCCCGCGGUGCAUUAGCUAGUUGGUGAGGUAACGGCUCACCAAGGCAACGAUGCAUAGCCGACCUGAGAGGGUGAUCGGCCACACUGGGACUGAGACACGGCCCAGACUCCUACGGGAGGCAGCAGUAGGGAAUCUUCCGCAAUGGACGAAAGUCUGACGGAGCAACGCCGCGUGAGUGAUGAAGGCUUUCGGGUCGUAAAACUCUGUUGUUAGGGAAGAACAAGUACAAGAGUAACUGCUUGUACCUUGACGGUACCUAACCAGAAAGCCACGGCUAACUACGUGCCAGCAGCCGCGGUAAUACGUAGGUGGCAAGCGUUAUCCGGAAUUAUUGGGCGUAAAGCGCGCGCAGGCGGUUUCUUAAGUCUGAUGUGAAAGCCCACGGCUCAACCGUGGAGGGUCAUUGGAAACUGGGGAACUUGAGUGCAGAAGAGAAAAGCGGAAUUCCACGUGUAGCGGUGAAAUGCGUAGAGAUGUGGAGGAACACCAGUGGCGAAGGCGGCUUUUUGGUCUGUAACUGACGCUGAGGCGCGAAAGCGUGGG